GAGUAACACGUAUCCAACCUGCCGUCUACUCUUGGACAGCCUUCUGAAAGGAAGAUUAAUACAAGAUGGCAUCAUGAGUCCGCAUGUUCACAUGAUUAAAGGUAUUCCGGUAGACGAUGGGGAUGCGUUCCAUUAGAUAGUAGGCGGGGUAACGGCCCACCUAGUCUUCGAUGGAUAGGGGUUCUGAGAGGAAGGUCCCCCACAUUGGAACUGAGACACGGUCCAAACUCCUACGGGAGGCAGCAUG
rnacentral:rRNA from 1 species